GAUGAACGCUGGCGGCGUGCCUAAUACAUGCAAGUCGAGCGAACGGACGAGAAGCUUGCUUCUCUGAUGUUAGCGGCGGACGGGUGAGUAACACGUGGAUAACCUACCUAUAAGACUGGGAUAACUUCGGGAAACCGGAGCUAAUACCGGAUAAUAUUUGGAGCCGCAGGGGGCAAAAGUGAAAGACGGUCUUGCUGUCACUUAUAGAUGGAUCCGCGCUGCAUUAGCUAGUUGGUAAGGUAACGGCUUACCAAGGCAACGAUGCGUAGCCGACCUGAGAGGGUGAUCGGCCACACUGGAACUGAGACACGGUCCAGACUCCUACGGGAGGCAGCAGUAGGGAAUCUUCCGCAAUGGGCGAAAGCCUGACGGAGCAACGCCGCGUGAGUGAUGAAGGUCUUCGGAUCGUAAAGCUCUGUUAUUAGGGAAGAACAUCUGUGUAAGUAACUGUGCACAUCUUGACGGUACCUAAUCAGAAAGCCCCGGCUAACUACGUG
rnacentral:rRNA from 1 species